AUCAUUUCUCGGCCUUUUGGCUAAGAUCGAAUGUCACAUCUGUUCUUAUCAGCUUAACUUAGAAUUAUUAAACCCUGAUAUCUCAUUGCUAGAAAUGACCAGAGAAAUGAGAAAUCAUUAAUCCACUGGCCCUCCUUUU
ensembl:snRNA U2 U2 spliceosomal RNA